GGCUGGUCCCAACGUGGCGAGUGAUCUCACUUGCUUGUUCACAGGGAGUUACAGAUUGAACUCCUUGUUCUACUACCUUCCUCCCUUCUCACUGCUGCACUUGACUAGUCUGAA
rnacentral:Y_RNA from 1 species